rnacentral:rRNA from 1 species
GGCAUGCGGGUGCUAUACAUGCAGUCGAGCGGACAGAAGGGAGCUUGCUCCCGGAUGUUAGCGGCGGACGGGUGAGUAACACGUGGGUAACCUGCCUGUAAGACUGGGAUAACUCCGGGAAACCGGAGCUAAUACCGGAUAGUUCCUUGAACCGCAUGGUUCAAGGAUGAAAAGACGGUUUCGGCUGUCACUUACAGAUGGACCCGCGGCGCAUUAGCUAGUUGGUGGGGUAAUGGCUCACCAAGGCGACGAUGCGUAGCCGACCUGAGAGGGUGAUCGGCCACACUGGGACUGAGACACGGCCCAGACUCCUACGGGAGGCAGCAGUAGGGAAUCUUCCGCAAUGGACGAAAGUCUGACGGAGCAACGCCGCGUGAGUGAUGAAGGUUUUCGGAUCGUAAAGCUCUGUUGUUAGGGAAGAACAAGUGCGAGAGUAACUGCUCGCACCUUGACGGUACCUAACCAGAAAGCCACGGCUAACUACGUGCCAGAAACCCGCGGUA